AUUGAACGCUGGCGGCAUGGUUAAAGCAUGCAAGUCGCAGGAGAACCAGACUUCGGUUUGGGGACACUGGCGGAAGGGCGAGUAAUGAUAUCGAACGUACCCCGAGGUGGAGGAUAGGUCAGGGAAACUUGGCGUAAUACUCCAUGAUCUCUACGGAGCAGAGCUUCGGCGCCUUGGGAGCGGCGAUAUUCCUAUCAGCUUGUUGGUGAGGUAAAGGCUCACCAAGGCUUAGACGGGUAGCGGGUGUGAGAGCAUGACCCGCCGCAUCGGGACUGAGACACUGCCCGG
rnacentral:rRNA from 1 species